rnacentral:rRNA from 1 species
UACGUAGGGACCGAGCGUUGUCCGGAUUCAUUGGGCGUAAAGGGCUCGUAGGUGGCCAACUAAGUCAGACGUGAAAUCCCUCGGCUUAACCGGGGAACUGCGUCUGAUACUGGAUGGCUUGAGUUCGGGAGAGGGAUGCGGAAUUCCAGGUGUAGCGGGGAAAUGCGUAGAUAUCUGGAGGAACACCGGUGGCGAAGGCGGCAUCCUGGAUUGGUAUUGACGCUGAGGAGCGAAAGCUAGGGGAGCAAACGGG